AAUAGGCGCUUUAGCUUGUCAGUCGAUAGUAUCUUUGUCCAAGAGAUGAUUUAAAGUGGAUUGAUUUGUCUUUAAAUUUUUUUGUUUGAUUUAGGGCCGCUUAUUGGAUUAAGUAUAUUAUGGUGGCUUACCAAGGAUCAGUUCACCUGUUCAAUGUUUAAACAUCUAAAAUCAAGCCAUGGCAGCUUUUAUUUAUCAAAUUUUCCUGUCAUCAAAGGGCUAAUAAAUAAAAACAAGAGACGGCCAGUGAUUAUUUUGACCUUAUCUUGUCCUCUCAAUGCUCUGGAAACUAGAGGCUAUGCAUAUGAAUCAGAAAGCUUAUGGAAUCGGACGUGUUUUCAACGCUACUCGAUCAUGGAAAUUGUUAUAAGCCUUUGAGAUCAAAGAAGUAAAUGAAUGGUUGUAAGAAAAUUUAGCUCCAGAUAUUGACUCUAAAGCUGCUUCUGUCGACGCAUUUGUUUCCAGGUCCUUUUUAUUCUGCUGAAAGAAAGUCUUCUCUCAAUUUCCAGAUCCAUGUUCAUGUUUCAUAUCUUCUUUCCUUGAUUCUUGUCUCAACUGGUUUCCAGUUUAAUCAGCUUUUAAAUACAAGUUACAAGAAGAAAAAUUUAAAGCUUAUUGAGAUGCAAGAACCACUUCUUGAGGAUGCUUCAUCAUUACUGAUGGUCUACAUGAUUGAGUCGACAUUUGAUUGAAUUAGAAAUGGCAACGAUGGAACCGGCGAAAGAAGAUGCUGAUUACAAUGUUGAAAGAUUGAUAGCCAGUAAAGAGUCUGCUAAGGUCAAUUAGGUUUGUGAGUCAAGUUUAUUUGGAUGGUGAUUCACUGGUUCCCCAUCGUCGUUCACUUAUUUACAUUUAAAUUUGUUUAAUUUUUGAUCACAUCAAUAGCAAGCGUUUUCACGAGCCACAAAGCAAACAAAUUGUAAUCACUUUUGACAAUGUCAAUUAACCAGAAAGAGUAAACUUACAACAUAUCAUUGGCAUCAAGCGUGGGCGCAACAAACCUGAACCGCCACGUGACACGGCAACCCUGGUAAAACAGUUGAAUCAUUUUCCAUCUUGACCGUCAUCUUAAUCCGUUCCAACUUAAUUUACUUGAUCACAUUAUUUUUAUCAUGAAAAUUGAUAAUUAUUAACAUCAUAAUCAACCUUAUUCAUCUUAACAGUCAUCUUACCUAUUCAUUUGAGCAAAUUUAAUGCGGCCAACACAACCAGGCUAACCUGGACAAUGGAUCAACUAUUAACCCUUCGGGUCACUGUCUUCCUCAUCAUUACCCUCAUCAA